AUUAAUGGAUACGUUUGGAAUAAAAAUUUUUAACGCUCUUUUAUUCGAAUUAAUUAUUUUUUCUCUCAAUAAUUCGUAGUCCGGUUAAAUCGAAAACCAUUAUGAAUCGAAUUUUCAACUCGUUCACCUGAAUUUCGAAUAAUUCUGUCUUUUGUACAGUGAUCACCCCAAAGACUAUAUUAUGUACAUUUAAUGAAAAUAAUUUCAUAGGAUGUUAGAUUACAUUGUAGUGAUAUACCUAUUCGUAUUCCUCAAUGUUUGUUUUGUUUUCACAUUUAAGUAAUUUACAAGAUUACCAGAUAAUAUAUAUAGGUACAUAUAUAUUCUAUAGAAAUGCGAUGCUAUUGAUUUGGAUGUUGACAGUAACAUAGUUACAUCAUACUUUUGUUAUAAAUUAAAGUUACAGCAAAGUACUAUUUCACCUUGUGAGCUCAACGUAGAGAAAUCUGUGUUUAUAUUUUCGCCUUUGGAAAUCAACGGAGAAGAACUUGUUGCGCAAUGGUGUCCAAACAUGUACAAGAGGAGACAAACUACUAUUGGAAGAAGUUCAGAAGUUUGUCAUCCAAUGGCAUAUCACCAAAAGAAUUUUUGGACAAUUUGAUAUAUUUAAAUAAAUCAUCAAUUAGACAAAAUAAGGAAGUAUUUUCGUGUAUUAUGAAAAAGUUGCUAGACAAGCGGACAUUUGACAUAGGAUAUUCACGCAACCUCCUUAUGAAAUAUAGUUAUGUUUUUGGUGGUAUUAUCGAAUACGAGCUCAUUCACAAUCCUAAGGCUUUAAGUAAGGCGCUACAAUUCGUCUUGGUCUCCUUGAGCGGCAGACCGCAUUCGAAAAUGUUCGAUUUCGGCGUACUAGCGCUAAACCGAUUCCACAAAUGUUUGAAGAAUCACUGAGAAUUUUUCGAAAGCGUAGCAGCCAUUCCGCAUUUUGAAAAAUUCCCUUCGCAUUUGAUCGCGUCGUAUUUAACUGCGAUCGUAGAAUAAAUCAUAAUUGAAAACAACGAACAUUUAACAGUCAAUAGCGAAAUAUGGGAAAUGCACACCGGAACACGAGGACGAAGAAGCUGCCGGUACCCAACAGCCGCCCGUGCUGUACUCGCCUACGACAACAUUGGCCGCAGACACGUGGUCGGUCGAUCUGGAGGAAUACGAUUUCGAAGAGGUCGACCGGAAUGUAACCGACAAAGAAAGAUUAGCGUUCAUCGUAAACAAUCUGAGUGCAAACAAUUUACGCGAAAAGAGAAUUGGUACGUUACGGUCCGGCGUGGCGCAGCAGCAUUCGGCGCAGCGCAGUUAUAGGAAUAAUUGGCCGUACCCAAACCGCACGGUCAAAAAAUCUAACUAAUAAUACUGAAUUCAACUUUUCCAAUAAUAAUUUCGUAAACCCAGACUGAAACUUCGUCUCCCACAGGAAAUCUUCUUAUCUCAAGAACAAACUUCAGGAUCAUCUGAAUCUGAAUCUGAACAAACGUAAAUACACACUCAAUACUCAUAACUGCUAAAAAAAAAAAAAUGAAUAAAUAAAUAAAUUACAGCUUAUAUCUAUAUUUAUU
rnacentral:misc_RNA from 1 species